rnacentral:tRNA from 1 species
CAAAUUAUAGUUUAUAAAAACAUUAAUUUUGGAUAUUAAAAAAAUAAUAAAUUAUUAUUAAUUUGA